rnacentral:rRNA from 1 species
GUCCACGCCCUAAACGAUGGAUACUAAUCAGGGGACCCUGCAAGGGGUUCCUUGACGGAGCGAAAGCGUUAAGUAUCCCGCCUGGGGAGUAUGGUCGCAAGGCUGAAACUCAAAGGAAUUGACGGGGCUCACACAAGCGGUGGAGCAUGUUGCUUAAUUCGAUGCAACGCGAAGAACCUUACCCGGGCUCGAAGUGUACGGAUUAGCUCUAUGAAAGUAGAGUGACACCUUAACCGGUGGAACGUAUAAAGGUGUUGCAUGGCUGUCGU